rnacentral:rRNA from 1 species
AUUGAACGCUAGCGGUAUGCUUUACACAUGCAAGUCGAACGGCAGCGCGGACUUCGGUCUGGCGGCGAGGGGCGAACGGGUGAGUAGUGUAUCGGAACGUGCCCAGUUGCGUGGGAUAACUACGCGAAAGCGUAGCUAAUACCGCAUACGCCCUACGGGGGAAAGCAGGGGAUCGUAAGACCUUGCACUAUUGGAGCGGCCGAAAUCGGAUUGUCUAGUUGGUGAGGUAACGGCUCACCAAGCCGACGAUCCGUAGCUGGUUUGAGAGGACGACCAGCCACACUGGGACUGAGACACGGCCCAGACUCCUACGGGAGGCAGCAGUGGGGAAUUUUGGACAAUGGGGGCAAGCCUGAUCCAGCCAUCCCGCGUGUGGGAUGAAGGCCUUCGGGUUGUAAAGCACUUUUGGCAGGAAAGAAACGUCGCGGGCUAAUACCCCGUGGAACUGACGGUACCUGAAGAAUAAGCACCGGCUAACUACGUG